UAUCUGACACUGUUUGAAAAAUGGGGUGGAACUGCAUUUAGACAUUUAAUUAAACAGGGCUGCUGACAACAGUAAAGAAUUGAGGGCAACAAUGAAGGUUAACAACUGUGGAUAAACCUCUUUUGCUUGACCUCGAGAAGUAACCCUGAGGACUGUCCCCACUCAACGGAAUUAUUUUCACACUCAUUUGAGAGGCUGAGUUUCUUAGAGGAGCUUUUGAAAGAUAGAGGUACCUAUCCACCUAUCUUCAGAAGAUUAAUGGGAUUUGAGCAAAAAGCAUCUAGUCUUCAUUCUCUACUUUUGAGUGUAGUAUUGGUUGCCUACUACUAACUGCCUUUGCUUCUACAUAUUCGCAUACCUAUUGAGAAACUUCUGAUUUAAUGUCAGUCCUUCUGCCAUAAUUUCUGGAAGUCAGGUCA